rnacentral:rRNA from 1 species
AUUGAACGCUGGCGGCAUGCCUUACACAUGCAAGUCGAACGGUAACGCGGGGCAACCUGGCGACGAGUGGCGAACGGGUGAGUAAUGUAUCGGAACGUGCCCAGUUGUGGGGGAUAACUGCUCGAAAGAGCAGCUAAUACCGCAUACGACCUGAGGGUGAAAGCGGGGGAUCGCAAGACCUCGCGCAAUUGGAGCGGCCGAUAUCAGAUUAGGUAGUUGGUGGGGUAAAGGCUCACCAAGCCAACGAUCUGUAGCUGGUCUGAGAGGACGACCAGCCACACUGGGACUGAGACACGACCCAGACUCCUACGGGAGGCAGCAGUGGGGAGUUUUGGACAAUGGGCGCAAGCCUGAUCCAGCCAUGCCGCGUGCGGGAAGAAGGCCUUCGGGUUGUAAACCGCUUUUGUCAGGGAAGAAAAGACUCCUGUUAAUACCGGGGGUUCAUGACGGUACCUGAAGAAUAAGCACCGGCUAACUACGUGCCAGCCGCCGCAGUAA